rnacentral:piRNA from 1 species
UCCCAGGCGAACAAACCAGACAUCGGUGC